rnacentral:rRNA from 1 species
GAUGAACGCUGGCGGCGUGCCUAAUACAUGUAAGUCGAGCGAACAGACGAGGAGCUUGCUCCUCUGACGUUAGCGGCGGACGGGUGAGUAACACGUGGAUAACCUACCUAUAAGACUGGGAUAACUUCGGGAAACCUGAGCUAAUACCGGAUAAUAUAUUGAACCGCAUGGUUCAAUAGUGAAAGACGGUUUUGCUGUCACUUAUAGAUGGAUCCGCGCCGCAUUAGCUAGUUGGUAAGGUAACGGCUUACCAAGGCAACGAUGCGUAGCCGACCUGAGAGGGUGAUCGGCCACACUGGAACUGAGACACGGUCCAGACUCCUACGGGAGGCCGCAGUAGGGAAUCUUCCGCAAUGGGCGAAAGCUUGACGGAGCAACGCCGCGUGAGUGAUGAAGGUCUUCGGAUCGUAAAACUCUGUUAUUAGGGAAGAACAAAUGUGUAAGUAACUAUGCACGUCUUGACGGUACCUAAUCAGAAGGCCACGGCUAACUACGUG